rnacentral:rRNA from 1 species
AAUAUUGGACAAUGGGGGGAACCCUGAUCCAGCCAGGCCGCGAGAGUUAAGAAGGCCAUCGGGAUGUAAAGUACUUCUUGCAGAGAAGAAAAGGUAGCUCCUAAUACGAGAUACUGCUGACGGUAGCGGCAGAUGAAGCACCGGCUAACUACGUGCCAGCAGCCGCGGUAAUACGUAGGGUGCAAGCGUUAAUCGGAAUUACUGGCGGUAAAGCGUGUGUAGGCGGUUCGGAAAGAAAGAUGUGAAAUCCCAGGGCUCAACCUUGGAACUGCAUUUUUAACUGCCGAGCUAGAGUAUGUCAGAGGGGGGUAGAAUUCCACGUGUAGCAGUGAAAUGCGUAGAUAUGUGGAGGAAUACCGAUGGCGAAGGCAGCCCCCUGGGAUAAUACUGACGCUCAGACACGAAAGCGUGGGGAGCAAACAGG